rnacentral:rRNA from 1 species
UGCCAGCCGCCGCGGUAAUACGAAGGGACCUAGCGUAGUUCGGAAUUACUGGGCUUAAAGAGUUCGUAGGUUGUUGAAAAAGUUAAUGGUGAAAUCCCAGAGCUUAACUCUGGAACUGCCAUUAAAACUUUUCAGCUAGAGUAUGAUAGAGGAAAGCAGAACUUCUAGUGUAGAGGUGAAAUUCGUAGAUAUUAGAAAGAAUACCAAUUGCGAAGGCAGCUUUCUGGAUAAUUACUGACACUGAGGAACGAAAGAAUGGGUAGCGAAGAGGAUUAGAGA